GGGGGUGAAAGGCUUCGACCCAGAUACUCAUGACAAAGGCGGCAUGUAGAGGUUGUCGGGAGGCCUCUUUAAACACCUGGCAAAUAUCAAAUGCUGACACUGUAAAAGUACCAGCAUCAGUGGACCAGCUCCUUGCGGCUAUGCAAGUAGUCAAAGGUGUUGCUCCACUGGCAAGCGCUGCUCUCUAAAUAGAGCAGCCCGUCUUUAGGCUCAUCCUGUGGGGCCUAAAAGAUGUCGAUAGCAGGAUAGUCUGACCUUGUUUAACCUUUUUGGGGUUAGAUGAAAUUUUAAAAGGCUGCCCAUCGGAAAUUCCGCCUGUUGAAGUUCCGGCGGGGAGAUAAAUAGGCAGGAUAAACAUGUAGAGGCUUUUGAUCUGAUGUUUGGGCACGCGGGUUCGAAUCCCGCCACCUCCACCA
rnacentral:tmRNA from 2 species